rnacentral:rRNA from 1 species
ACUUUUGAAAGGUUGACCUCGGAUCAGGUAGGAAUACCCGCUGAACUUAA